rnacentral:lncRNA from 1 species
CACGUUUGUGCCUUUAUUUCCCAAAUUUUCACGUUGUCGUUUCUCUUUCAGCCUUAAUCAUUGGAAUUUCUUUAUUUUUCUUUUGUUCAUCCUCCCUAUUUACGACGUUGCUUCCACUCAUUCUUGCUAUUCGUUUCGUUUUCGACGUGUGUGGUUUCUUUUUUGCCAGUUGUUUGUGUAAGUGCUCUUGAACCCUUCUCGUGUUGUAAGUGGGUUCAUUCUUAUUGUUAUUUUCCUUAGUUUGUAGGUUGAAAACGUUCGAUAAGUUCAAUCCGUUGCUUUUCUAGGUGAUGUUGGAGAGACGAUUAAUCCACCGACGACUUAGAAUUUUUGGUGAACUAUUAUUUUCUUGAAGGUGAGAAAUUGAUUUGAGUUUUAAUGUCGCAAUUCUGUGAUAGUAUGUUAAAAUUAGUUUUAUCGUUUGUUGUGAAUCGAGUUAGAAAAUCAUCUCAAAUAGUGCUUUUAAUUGAUGUGUUUAGGUUUCGAAAGCCUUGUGGGUAUUUUUGCAAAAAAAUCGAACAAGUUGUGUAACGAGAAACAUGAAAAACAGCGAACGAAAAAAGUCAAAAAAUUGCACAGUCGACGCCACACGGCCGUGUGCUGGACCAUGUGAGACACACGAUCUGGGCUAUUUGAGCUGUGCUCCAAGCCAUGUGGGCAAUACGGGCUGGCCAUUUAGGCCGUGUGAGCCCAAAAUUCUGAAUUUUUCCCUAGGGCCGUAAGUAUCGUUUGGAUCAAACGUAAGCCUACCGUAGGGUCGGUAUGUUAUAAUUAAGCUAUAAAACAUGAAUUUUGGCCAGUCGUUAGCGUGAAAUUUGAUAUAAAUAUAUAAGUAAAAUUUGUAACAUGCAAUGUAUUAUCUGAUAAAUUUUAUGUAUGAUCUGUAUCUGUUAUUCUGAGCAUGUACAUCAUAAAUAUAUUUGUUAUCUGUUAGUAUUACAUUUGCAUUUGGGGUGGGGUUUGAUAUAUGGAGGAAAUGUGGGCAGUGUAAUAAUCUGUCGUAUUUGGUGGCUCAACCACAUAUAUAUAAUUCUAUAAACAGCGAUAAAUCGCCUAAUAUACUGGUAGCUCUGUUGUAAAUAUUCUGAAAAGUGUCAUACCGACACUAAGUGGUGCGUAGGGUUGGAUGAGUAUUUAAUACCCUAUAUGAUGUGUAAGGAUGGUUGGAGAUGGUGUGUAGCAGACAGGGGUAGGAUUGUAAAUUUGUAUUUGAUUCUGAUUUUGUAUAAGAUAUACGUUCUGUAUCUGCUUUGCUACAUAAUAAAUCUGAAAUUAAAUUUGUAAUUCUAUUUUGCUUAAAGUUACACACUGAGUUAUGAAAAACCACUUACUGUUUGUCUGUCACUUUCAGGUAACACUUAAACUUAGGUGGGUCGGUGUGACGGGAGCUCAAUUAUAACCAUAUUUUUGUAAAUUUAAUUUAUUUAAAUUUGGGUUUGAAAGUUUUGGAAAUUUUAGAAUGUUUGGAUAUUUUUGGUUGUUUUGGGUUUUGGACUUUAAUUUCGUUUUUCGCAUAAUAUCGCUUAAACGUUUUAUCGACAAUGUUCAUUUUUACAAACUAUGUUUUCAAAAAUUUAACUUUCUAAGAAUUUCUGCUAUAAGUGUUGACACCAUUUUUUUGUGAAAACGGGGUCGACUUGGUUUUUUAAAAUGAAAAUGAAUAUGGGAGUCGCCACCAAUCCUUCUUUGAUGAGGUGUGAUCGGGUCACCUCAAAAAGUGGUUGUUUUUAAUAAAUGAUUUGAUUUUAUCAAAAUAACGAUUUUGUUCUACGAAAUUUAAAAAACGGGUUCGGGAGUCGGUUACGUACGAGGAAGGAUUAACACCCUCGUAACGCCUAAAAUUGGUACCUAGUUGAUUACUUAAUGUCUUGGUGUCGAAAAUUAAAAAACUCGAAAAGAAAUUAAAAAUACGAUCCCUCUUUAUAUUGUGCUAUUUUAAAAUUACUAAAAUAAAUCAAAAAGGAAAAUGCCUCCUUAUCUCGAAGUAACAAGAUGUCACAUCCAGUAAGUUAGGACAUGACGCCUCGUAUUUUGAGAGUAAGCUUGCCUUUUAUUUUUUAUUUAAACUUC